rnacentral:ribozyme from 1 species
CGCAAAAAAAAGGAAAAAGGAAAAAGGAUAGAGGAAAAGGAACGGAGAAAAUACAAAAACGAGUGAUUCGUUUGAGGGAAAUGGACACUGGUGGUGUUUGUUGUGUGCUUCUGCUCUUUUUUCCUUUUUUUCCUUUUUUCCUUUCUUCUUUC